rnacentral:rRNA from 1 species
AACGAACGCUGGCGGCAUGCUUAACACAUGCAAGUCGAACGCUCUGAUGGGUUCGCUCAUCAGGGAGUGGCGCACGGGUGAGUAGCGCGUGGGAACCUGCCCAGUCGUGGGGGAUAACCGCGGGAAACUGCGGCUAAUACCGCAUACGCCGGAGGAGACUCCGGGAAAGAUUUAUCGCGAUUGGAGGGGCCCGCGUCGGAUUAGCUAGUUGGUGGGGUAACGGCCUACCAAGGCAGUGAUCCGUAGCUGGUCUGAGAGGAUGAUCAGCCA